GGAGUGGCGGCUUGGGGCGCAGCGUCCCUGAACUUCCUAGAGUUUCUCAGAUUGUUAGAUAUUGAAGGUAGUGUUGAAAAAUCAUUGCAGUGAUCCUAGGGAUGGGAAGCUCGAGUCGUUCCACCUGUGUCUUCCGCACCGCAGGAGUUUUGCUGAAUUAAAAGGCACUACUUUAAUUAAAAAGGUAAUUAGAAAAUGUGAAGAACAGGGACUGUGGCCCCGUUUAUGUCAUUUAGCGAACUAGUGCUUCUAAACCUCAAAUAGGCUCUGUGAGUUCAAGAUGGCUAAUUUUUCAAAAAAUAAAAGUAUUCAGGCCUUGUUCAGUCUGGGAAGGGCAAACAGUUGGGCUUUGUUAGGUAAAUAAAGUGCAGAUCGUGGAACUAAGUUCUAUUUCUGAGGAAGAGUUUAGCUUUUUUUCCAUAGGGAAAGAACGCUGUGAGGGGUCACUAUAGUUGAAGCUGGUCAGGGGAGAGACUAAGACAAGCCGACUCACUAAAAGGCUGUUGUCCAUAUCAAAGUGGCCUUGAGAUGGAGAGGAAGGUGUAUGCUUGAAUCUGUGUGAGGUGCUCAGUUAUUUGUUCAUAGAAAUGAAGGGCUGAUAGACGAGGUCUUUAACAGAACUGGAGAAUGAGCCGAGGGAGGCUCUCUGGAGUUCAAGGUUGAGUGUCUGCUGUACUGAGGCCAGCUAGAUCCUGGUGUUUGAAAUGAGGUGAAGGCUCUUUGUUUUCUCUUAACUUGCAGCAGGAUAAACCUGGGUUUGGAGUUCGGAAGGCCUUAGGCUCAAGGGCUCCAGUUGAGGAAGCGUGAACAUUUUGACUGGAGUUGAUCUUAACCCAAUGGACUUUCCCUGUGCUGACCAACCCUUUCAUCACAAGCAAUAUAUUCGGUUGCUGAGCCCUGGAAAUGUAAGCAGUCUGAAGUGAGAGAUGCUGUAAAUGAACACUGUACACUGACAAGUACCCAACACUUCCCCAAAGAGAGUAAAAUACCUCAUUAAUAGUAAUAGUGCAUAUAUUCCAGUUAUUUGCUGGCCAAUUUUUUAUGUGUUCGGUUAAAGAAUAUUUACUGUCACUCACCUGUUUGGUUUUACUGUCUUUGAACUAGGGCAUCAGAAACGAUGGGGCUGCGUGCUUAACUCCCAUUGUUAUGGCUCCAGCUCAGCACUCCACAGACAGAAAGCCUGUGGUGAGGAGCAGUGGGUAUCUGCAAAGGCUUUCUCUUCUUAGACCGGGUUUCUCUGUGUAGCCCUGGCUGUCCCGGAACUCAAACUUUGUAGACCAGGCUGGCCUCAAACUCAGAAAUCCACCUACCUGUGCCUCCCAUGUGCUGGGAUGAAAGGCAUCUGACGCUGCCAUGUUGCCUGCAUCUACUUCUAAAUGAAUGAAAUUCGAGAGCU
rnacentral:lncRNA from 1 species